rnacentral:rRNA from 1 species
AGUUUGAUCCUGGCUCCAGGGAGGAACCCCGGGCGGCGUCCCUAACCCCAUGCCAAGUCGAGCGGAAACCGGAAAAGCCCGAAAGCUUCGGCCGAAAGGAUUUUUGGGGAAAAGCGGCGGACGGGGUGAGUAACGCGUAGGGUAACCGCCCCUAUACACGGGGAUAGCCACUGGAAACGGUGAUUAAUUCCCGAUAGUCUCCUGUAACGCAUGUUAUGAGAGGGAAAGAUUUAUCGGUAUGGGAUGGACCUGCGUCUGAUUAGCUAGUUGGUGGGGUAAUGGCCUUCCAGGGCAACGAUCAGUAGCCGACCUUAGAGGGUGAUCGGCCACACUGGGACUGAGAACGGCCCAGACUCCUACGGGAGGCAGCAGUGGGGAAUAUUGCACAAUGGAGGGAACUCUGAUGCAGCAACGCCGCGUGAGUGAUGAAAUAUUUCGAUAUGUAAAGCUCUGUUCUAGGGGGAGAAAAUGACGGUACCCUAGCAGCAAGCCCCGGCUAACUACGUGCCAGCAGCCGCGGUAAUACGUAGGGGGCAAGCGUUAUCCGGAAUUAUUGGGCGUAAAGCGUACGCAGGCGGCCAAAAAGGUCAGAGGUGAAAGACAGGGGCUCAACCCCUGCGAGCCUUUGAAACCAUUUGGCUUGAGCAUAGGAGGGGAAAGUGGAAUUUCUAGUGUAGCGGUGAAAUGCGUAGAUAUUAGAAGGAACACCGGUGGCGAAGGCGACUUUCUGGACUAUGUCUGACGCUGAGGCUCGAAAGCGUGGGGAGCAAACAGGAUUAGAUACCCUGGUAGUCCACGCCGUAAACGAUGAGUGCUAGGUGUUAGGCCCUUUCCGGGGCUUAGUGCCGCAGCUAACGCAUNAAG